rnacentral:rRNA from 1 species
GGCUAACGCUGGCGGCGUGUCUUAGCCAUGCAAGUCGAGCGGACUUAUGGGGUAACUUAUAAGUCAGCGGCGGACGGCGGAGUAACACGUAGCUAACCUACCCUCUGGACGGGGAUAACCUACCGAAAGGUGGGCUAAUACCCGAUGUAGUCAUCCUGUAUAGGGGUGAUGAAAGGUGGGCUUCUGUUUACAAGCUCAUGCUGGAGGAGGGGGCUGCGGCCUAUCAGGUAGUUGGUAGGGUAAUAGCCUACCAAGCCGAUGACGGGUAGCCGGCCUGAGAGGGUGACCGGCCCGAGGGGCACUGAGAUACGGGUCCCACUCCCACGGGAGGCAGCAGGCUAGAAAUUUGGGCAAUGGGGGAAACCCUGACCCAGUGACGCCGCGUGCAGGAAGGAGCCCUUCGGGGUGUAAACUGCUGUCGUGUAGGGAGAAGGGUACUAAGGUGAACAAUCUUAGUACUUGACGGUACUACAGGAGGAAGCCCAGGCUAACCUCGUG